AGAGCCAUAGAAGAAAGUUAAAAAAAGAGGUUAUACAAGGUAGAAACAUUUUUUUGAGGGCCAUACAAGUAAACUCUCUCCUACAACUAUUAUAUUACGCUAUUGAUCAGAAACGGCAGCGCCUUGUGAGAGUGAAACUCUUAUAGAAGGGACGGAUAGGUUGGAAGUUUGGAACCCUGGACCCGACGGCGUACACUCUACACUGUCGAUCGCCACCACGAUGUUGAGCUGUCAGGAACACACGAAGCCGGAUCGGAGUGAAGAACCGAGCGCGCGGCCGGCCGGUUUCGUCAGUGAUGACGCAAAGAAAAGGAGAGAGAGAGACGCCCUACCGCCUGUCGAAGUCUGCAUUCACGCCGCGCCUACUACGACGUGGGCCGGGGGUACUAUAACUCGCGAUCAUCAGUUCAUCACUCCGCCCCCUGCCGGCAAUCAUACAUGCUACGCUAGCUGGGCGACGAGCUAGGCCGCCGCUUGCGGACAAUGAGGGGGGGAGGCUGCUUGCAAUUGCGCACCCGCCCGGCGGCGCACGGCGCGUCUUCAAAUUGAAGCCGGGCGACGUCCCAAUCCGAUGCUCGACAAAUCGACAUCAGGAGAUGGCAAAGUCUUUGCCUGUUUGCCAUUGUUUUCUCCUCCUCUCCUACUAUCUUACGCCAGACGACGAUGAUGACACAUCGAUCGGCUUAUUAUUGUACACAUGGAGUGUAUGGAGAGCAGCCUGAUUGAGAUUGUUCUGGGAUUCAUUUGGAAAAUUCGGUCCAAUUUCGGGCUCAAUUCGGUGAAUUUUCGGAAUGAAUCACAAAUUUUGUUUCGGACCUAACCGAAUUGGACAAAAUUCGCUGAAAUUCGGAGUAUUUCUGUCGAAUCCCAGAUCCUUAUUUGACUAGCAUCCGCUGAUGCAUGCAUGCAGGAUACAAUUCAUUUGGCAGGGCAUCAAAUCGAUCGACAUGCAUAUGUUUUGCA